GACGAACGCUGGCGGCGUGCCUAAUACAUGCAAGUAGAACGCUGAAGGAGUAGCUUGCUUCUGUGGAUGAGUUGCGAACGGGUGAGUAACGCGUAGGUAACCUGCCUGUUAGCGUGGGAUAACUAUUGGAAACUAUAGCUAAUACCGCAUACGAGUAGAUGUUGCAUGAUAUUUGCUUGAAAGAUUCAAUUGCAUCACUACCAGGUGGAGCUGCGUUGUAUUAGCUAGUUGGCGGGGUAACGGCUUACCAAGGCGACGAUACAUAGCCGACCUGAGAGGGGGAUCGGCCGCACUGGGACGGAGACACGGCCCAGACUCCUACGGGAGGGAGCAGUAGGGAAUCUUCGGCAAGGGACGGAAGUCUGACCGAGCAACGCCGCGCGAGUGAAGAAGGUUUUCGGAUCGUAAAGCUCUGUUGUACGAGAAGAACGAGGGUGAGAGUGGAAAGUUCACACUGUGACGGUAUCUUACCAGAAAGGGACGGCUAACUACGUG
rnacentral:rRNA from 1 species